GAUGAACGCUAGCGGCAGGCCUAACACAUGCAAGUCGAGGGGUAACAUAGAAAAGCUUGCUUUUCUGAUGACGACCGGCGCACGGGUGCGUAACGCGUAUACAACCUACCUUUUAGCGGGGAAUAGCCCAGGGAAACUUGGAUUAAUGUCCCAUAGUAUAUAGACUUCUCCUGAAGUUUAUAUUAAACAUUUAUGGCUAUUAGAUGGGUAUGCGUCCUAUUAGUUAGUUGGUAAGGUAACGGCUUACCAAGGCAGCGAUAGGUAGGGGUCCUGAGAGGGAGAUCCCCACACUGGUACUGAGACACGGACCAGACUCCUACGGGAGGCAGCAGUGAGGAAUAUUGGACAAUGGGCGAGAGCCUGAUCCAGCCAUGCCGCGUGCAGGAAGACUGCCCUAUGGGUUGUAAACUGCUUUUACAGAGGAAGAACCACCCCCACGUGUGGGGGUUUGACGGUACUCUGCGAAUAAGGAUCGGCUAACUCCGUG
rnacentral:rRNA from 1 species